GUCCUUAGUACGAGAGGACCGGGAUGGACAUACCUCUGGUGUACCAGUUGUUCUGCCAAGAGCACCGCUGGGUAGCUACGUAUGGAUUAGAUAAUCGCUGAAAGCAUCUAAGUGAGAAACUAACCUCGAGAUGAGAUUUCCCAUUCGUCAGAAGUAAGACCCCUGAGAGACGAUCAGGUAGAUAGGCUAGAAGUGGAAGUGUAGUGAUGCAUGGAGCGGACUAGUACUAAUAGGUCGAGGACUUAACCAAG
rnacentral:rRNA from 1 species